GGCUCAGGAUGAACGCUAGCUACAGGCUUAACACAUGCAAGUCGAGGGGAAACGACAUUGGAAGCUUGCUUCCGAUGGGCGUCGACCGGCGCACGGGUGAGUAACGCGUAUCCAACCUGCCCACCACUUGGGAAUAACCUUGCGAAAGUAAGACUAAUGCCCGAUGACGUUGAAAGAAGACAUCUGAUUUCAACUAAAGAUUCAUCGGUGAUGGAUGGGGAUGCGUCCGAUUAGCUUGUUGGCGGGGUAACGGCCCACCAAGGCAACGAUCGGUAGGGGUUCUGAGAGGAAGGUCCCCCACAUUGGAACUGAGACACGGUCCAAACUCCUACGGGAGGCAGCAGUGAGGAAUAUUGGUCAAUGGGCGAGAGCCUGAACCAGCCAAGUAGCGUGCAGGAUGACGGCCCUAUGGGUUGUAAACUGCUUUUAUAAGGGAAUAAAGUGGGGCUCGUGAGCUCCUUUGCAUGUACCUUAUGAAUAAGGACCGGCUAAUUCCGUGCCAGCAGCCGCGGUAAUACGGAAGGUCCGGGCGUUAUCCGGAUUUAUUGGGUUUAAAGGGAGCGUAGGCCGCAGGUUAAGCGUGUUGUGAAAUGUAGGGGCUCAACCUCUGCACUGCAGCGCGAACUGGCUUGCUUGAGUACGCACAACGUGGGCGGAAUUCGUGGUGUAGCGGUGAAAUGCUUAGAUAUCACGAAGAACUCCGAUUGCGAAGGCAGCUCACGGGAGCGCAACUGACGCUGAAGCUCGAAAGUGCGGGUAUCGAACAGGAUUAGAUACCCUGGUAGUCCGCACGGUAAACGAUGGAUGCCCGCUGUUGGCUUGAAUUAGUCAGCGGCCAAGCGAAAGCAUUAAGCAUCCCACCUGGGGAGUACGCCGGCAACGGUGAAACUCAAAGGAAUUGACGGAAGGG
rnacentral:rRNA from 1 species